AAACUGCCCUUGACCUCGUUGAACAAUCUCCUCUCACCCCCCACCCCCUCCCCCACCCUGCUGGUCUGCAGACUGCAUGAGGGCGGGGCUGUGUCCUGGUCACGUGUGUCUCUCCUGUAUCAAAGGUAUUAGCAGAUGUGUUCUCAUUGCCUGCCAUCCAUGACCUCAGCCUUCAGCCUGUGUGUAAGUACCUCCCUGAGCGAGCACAUGCUCCCCUCCGCUGCCCCAGCCACCCUGCAGCCUGACUCCCCAAAGGCCCCACUUGCCAGAGGCAGUGACAUUUCCCCAUUCUCACUGACCCUUGCCUCCUUGCUCCGCUGGGCAUCAAACCGUGUCACCAGGGCCUCCCAGGGGCCUUCCCUCUCCCCACCCACCCGGGGCCACCCAACUUGUCAGCCACACCAAGCUUCUGAAUCUAAAUGCCACACUGGUGAGACACGUCACUUGUCCCUAGCUAUCAGGCGCUGUUCCGGUCAGAUGAUGGGGCUGUGUGCCAGGUUGCACGCACUGUGUUUUUCUGCAUAGGUGUUCUUCUGACCGCGUCCAGCUGGGUGCAGGACCGGAGGCGGCAAUCAGCAAGUGACUAUUGAUUGACUGAUUUUAACAGGUCUGCAUCCCCCGAUCGUGUUGAGAAGUGAGUCGUGGUCCUGUGUCAGAGCUGUGGGUUAAUCCCCAGGCAGGUGUGGCUAUCUCAGCAGUCAGCGGGCUCACAGGUUGCUUUAUCUUAUCAUUCUGCUUUGAAUCUCACGUCGCUCUGGUGGGGAAUAUUUGCCCUGUCAUUGAAGUUAUCUGAUCAGUCAUUUGUUUAAUUCAUUGUCAGUCAUGUCAACAGAGUUUCUAAUUGGCAAAAAAAAAAAAGCAGACCUCGCGUUCUGGACCCUGGCCUUGCAGGAUGAUGUGCCGUGGCUGCAUCCUGCAAACUUUCCUUGACGUGCCGAAUUUCAGUAGCAUAACUUGAGGGCUGUGGAGGACUCAUCAAGUCAUUGCAAAACCAACAGGAUAGUUUGUGAGUUCUCCUGUCUUUUCCAGGUUUCAAAGCUUCCAUUGGCUCUCCCAUUGAAAUACUCAACUGCCUGUCACUAGACACAGAUGUGCAUUUCUUUGCAGUCAGUCAGUGUUGUAUCUUUGAUAAGUGAGGGCUGCACUUCUCUGGAGUCCAUGCUGUUCUGUCCCCUUCUUUCCAGACAUAGAACAAAGCAAACAACAGCCUCGCUGCUUCGGACAUGUGCUGGGAAUGGGUGCUUUUCCAUGGUGAGGGCUAAGUUUGGGGGUCUCAAAGGAGAUAGUUGGCCAAGCCUGUGUGGAGUAACAAGUGUUACUAAGGCCUGAACCUGCCCUUCCAGACUGGUUAGCAUCUCGCUGAACCCAUUUGACACCAUCACCCACAAACACGACUGGACAAGUGAUUCACCCCACACUCACAGCGAGGCUUACAGGCUGUGAUGUGAGAAGACUCAGAGGAAGAAACUGAAGUUCAGUGAAUUUAUUAAGCAGAGAGCGGGCACUAGAUGGAUGGUCCGGCCAGGAUUAGAACCCAAUUUUCUCUAUCCCGGGAUGAUAACGCCUCUCCUACACCCACCCCCCAAAAAAGUGGGUAAGUUUUAGGUUAAAAGAGACCAAAGAGUUUUGGUGAAUAAGACUCAGUGGAUAAGUGUGAAUAGAAGAUUUGAGUAUGAAGCAAACCAAAAAGAACUUGUUAUUCUUUGGAGAAAGUGGGAAAGAGCUGACUUUGAAUUGAAAAAUUGAUGACAGUAAGGGAUUGUUCAUUUUCUUUGCAAUCCGGAGUGUGCUGUCCUGCUACACGGGAGUGGCCUUAUUUUUUAGGAUGACCUCAAAUGCCCGAAUUAGGAGCAGAAUGUUGGCAUUCGCUGUCAGCUUACUUUCAGUUGAUUCACCAAAACACACAUGUAGCUUGGGUUUUGACCAUGGAGCUGAAGCAAACAGAGUGAAAAUGAGUAAGUGUUGAAGAUAGGAAUUAGGCAUUCAUUCCCUUAAUUCAAAUUUAACAUAUGUUUGACAUUUUUCAUAACUUUAAAAAAAACACCCCUCCCCUUUGGUGUCCUAAGUAAGUGACUUCUGGAACCCCAGAGCACAGAGGGAGUGACAGCAGCCUGCCUGGCAGGACAGUACUGAGGGUCAAGGCGGAAGGAGCAGAGACCUGUGGAGAUGCAGCUUGUCGGAGACCACUGAGCACGAGUGUCCUGUGCCUUUGGAGGAAGGGGGAGAUUCUUUUUCUUUUUUUUUAAAUAAUAGCUUAUUUUUACAUCAUUUUGUGCCUUUCUCC